rnacentral:rRNA from 1 species
AACGCGAAGAACCUUACCUACUCUUGACAUCCUGCGAACUUGGUAGAGAUACCUUGGUGCCUUCGGGAACGCAGAGACAGGUGCUGCAUGGCUGUCGUCAGCUCGUGUUGUGAAAUGUUGGGUUAAGUCCCGUAACGAGCGCAACCCUUGUCCUUAGUUGCCAUCAUUCAGUUGGGCACUCUAGGGAAACUGCCCGUGAUAAGCGGGAGGAAGGUGUGGAUGACGUCAAGUCCUCAUGGCCCUUACGGGUUGGGCUACACACGUGCUACAAUGGUAGUGACAAUGGGUUAAUCCCAAAAAGCUAUCUCAGUUCGGAUUGGGGUCUGCAACUCGACCCCAUGAAGUCGGAAUCGCUAGUAAUCGCGUAACAGCAUGACGCGGUGAAUACGUUCCCGGGGUCUUGACACACCG